UACGAAGGGGGCUAGCGUUGUUCGGAAUUACUGGGCGUAAAGCGCACGUAGGCGGAUUGUUAAGUCAGAGGUGAAAUCCCGGAGCUCAACUUCGGAACUGCCUUUGAUACUGGCAAUCUCGAGUCCGGAAGAGGUUAGUGGAAUUCCCAGUGUAGUGGUGAAAUGCGUAGAUAUCGGGAGGAACACCAGUGGCGAAGGCGACUAUCUGGCUUUAACUGACGCUGAGGCGCGAAGGCCGGGGGAGCAAACAGG
rnacentral:rRNA from 1 species